UUCUUUGACCCAUUUUGCCAAAGGAAAGGAAGUUGCCUAAUAAUUAUGCACACCUGAUAUAGGGUGUUGAUGUCAUUAGACCACACCCCUUCUCAUUACAGAUGCACAUCACCUAAUAUGCUUAAUUGGUAGUAGGCUUUCGAGCCUAUACAGCUUGGAGUAAGACAACAUGCAUAAAGAGGAUGAUGUGGUCAAAAUACUCAUUUGCCUAAUAAUUCUGCACUCCCUGUACUUACAUU